UACGAAGGGGGCUAGCGUUGCUCGGAUUCACUGGGCGUAAAGGGUGCGUAGGCGGUCGGGUAAGUCUGAUGUGAAAUCUCACAGCUUAACUGUGAAACUGCAUUGGAUACUAUCCGGCUUGAGGAAUGGAGGGGAGACUGGAAUACUUGGUGUAGCAGUGAAAUGCGUAGAUAUCAAGUGGAACACCAGUGGCGAAGGCGAGUCUCUGGACAUUUCCUGACGCUGAGGCACGAAAGCCAGGGGAGCAAACGGG
rnacentral:rRNA from 1 species